GUGGAAAGAACAUUGUAUUAAAGCCCGGUUCCAUUACUUCUACCAUCAACCAGCUGUGUGGCUCAGAAAAGAAAUGGAACAGUACUUCCCUGGUAUAAAGAAUCUGCCUUGCAGUGCAGGGGACAUCCCUGGUCUGUGAAGAUUCCACAUGCCUUGGAGCAACUAAACCCCAUGCACCACAACUUCUGAGCCCGGGUUCUAGGGCCUGUGAACUGCAACUACUGAGCACUUGAGCUGCAACUACGGAA
rnacentral:lncRNA from 1 species